rnacentral:tRNA from 1 species
GCCUGUGGCCUACUGGUUAGGGCUUCAGACUUGUAACCGGAGAGUUGCCGGUUCGAACCCCGACCAGUAGGA